AUGAAAAUUAACCAAGGCACAUUAACUUCAGGAAAUCUUCAAAGGUCCCUUAAUCUUUUCUUAUCAAAACAAGGACAAAAGACAUGCCAUGUGGAACAGAUUCUGAAAGCUCUGUGGAGUCAAAAAAAUCUGUUGCAUGUGACCCCAGGGAAAAUUGGGACAUUUGGUAAGACUUCAGUUUGCUUGUAUUUCUUUGAGCAUUUCUGCUAGAAGUGUUGAAUUAUUUGAACUAUGUCAAUAAUUGCCCAAGUUUGUCUACACAAUCUAAUUCAUUUAAAAAAUUACUUAUGAGAGUAGUAAACUUGAUGACAGUUAAGUUAAACUAAUUAAUCAUCAGUUAAUCAUGACCUUGUAUCUAGACAAGCAGCAGUCUUACCAUAUGCUGUGCCUGAAGGCGAUAAGUAAG
rnacentral:lncRNA from 1 species